rnacentral:rRNA from 1 species
GACAGAGGGUGCUAGCGUUGUUCGGAAUUACUGGGCGUAAAGGGCGCGUAGGCGGCGUGUCAAGUCAGGCGUGAAAGCCCCGGGCUCAACCUGGGAACCGCGCUUGAGACUGGCAUGCUCGAGUUCGGGAGAGGAUGGUGGAAUUCCCAGUGUAGAGGUGAAAUUCGUAGAUAUUGGGAAGAACACCGAUGGCGAAGGCAGCCAUCUGGACCGACACUGACGCUGAGGCGCGAAAGCGUGGGGAGCAAACAGG